UUCCUCUCCGUCUAUGACAUCUUUUGUGUUGUGACUUGUAAUGGAAACCCUAAUUUCUAAGGGUGUUUGUCAUUCAUCUUUCUCUGCGAAACCCUAGCUAUCUAAUCAUUUUCUCGUAUAUGUUUUGCUAUAUGUCUAUUCUGCUAUGCCUAGUAUUGCAUGUUCCGACUUAUGAAUCUUUUAUGGUACUGUUUUUCCCUUUUUUCCCGAAACCGUAAUUGAUUUUGGUACAACUAUGUGAUUUUCUAAUUUUUCCAUGCACUUAGACUAAGUUCAUACGAGUAAAAUAUUGACUCCUUGAUUUUCUUGGUAAUUAUUUACCUUAUAUGUUCAACCGUGUGAUUUUUUUUUUAAUUUUUCCUAUGUGCAUCUACCCUAUAUUUUCUUAUGAGUACUAUAUUUGCUUUCCAAAAUUAGACUUAGGUCUAUUGAUUUUUCCACCCGGUUCCUUAAAUGAAGGUAUUCCCUUAUCCUUAAUUGAUACUAAUUGAUUUUCUGAAUAUUUUCUUUGCCUUACUGUUGCUUCUCUUUCAACUAUAAAUAGGAUCUCUCUUUCUCCUUAAUUGAUGCUAACUGGUUUUCUGAAUAUUUUUCUUGCCUUACUGUUGCUUCUCUUUCAACUAUAAAUAAAAUCUUUCUUUUCUCACUCAACACUGAUUCUUGAGUUCUCUCUACUCUCACUCACGAAAACUCUCAGCUUUUCUUUUCUUGAUACUUGCUCUCUCUGUUAAAGGCUAGCCGGCUGAAAUCCAAAGGCUAGUUAUAGAAUUUCUCUUUGUUUUGUCAUUCAUGUGCAACUGGUAGGGUCUAAUCUCAAUUACUAAUCUUCCAACUACUUGUUUACUUUCACCAUGUCUUUGCUUGUCAUACUUGCAGUCUAAAUUAGUCAUGUAAUCUCAUUCCCUUUCCCCUUGUUUGUUUCUAUCAGUAAUUUACUUGAAGUCCUAACAUGUUUAAAUUCCCUCUCCAUUUCCCUGGGUAGUCAUGUUUCAGUUCUAAUAUGCUUAUCCCCUUCCCUUUACCCCCCUUGUCUGAUUAUUUUAUUUCAUAUGAGUUUGUAGUAUGUUUAAGUCCCUAUCCUUUGUCUCCUUAUUUAUACAGUAGAUUUCAGUUAUGUUAAACCCCCCUUUCACUUUAUCCCUCGCCUGCUUGUGCUAGAUUUCAGCAUGUUGGUCCUUUUUUUUUGUUUAUAUUUAGUGUUUUCAGCAUGUUAAAUUCCUUUCUUCUGCUUGUGUAUUGUCCAUCACUAUGUUUUAUUUCUUCCUAGACUUUUCAACUUAAUUUUGUCUCUCAAACCUUGUGUGAUUUCCCUUUCCCCUUUACCCUUGCUUGCUUCUGAGUUUGUUUUGGAUGAGAAUGGCAUCUCAUUUCCACUUCUAAUCUAGAAUCAAGGCUUAAUUGAGAAUGGCAUCUCAUUGCCACUUUUAAUCUAGAAUCAAGGUUAACUGAAAUCUAGAACCAAGGCUUAAUUGCCUAUACUCAACAUGAUCCCCUUCCGUUUCCUCCUCUUAUGUGCUUGAGCCUGGACAAAAGCCUGUUGGUGUCUUAAUCACCUUCCAGGUCCUUGUCUGACUUGUUUGCAAGUCUGCUCCUGUUUGUAAUCUUUGUAAGGAGUCUGGGGUGUUCCAGUCUCAAUCAAUAGGCUGGGUAUGACCACUUCAUACAUUGGGCCCCUUUAAUCCUCACUUUGCACUUAUUCUUAGCCCUUUAAGUUCCUACCCCCCUUUGGUAAGCCAUGCUUAUGGACCUUGGAGUCUCUUCUGAACUUGGAUGCCUCAGGGCUGGUGAUUCCACACUUUCAAUAUUCCAACUAGGAUGUAAUCAAUGCCUGGUUCUCUUUUGAAGGCCCUUGGAGCUUUGUAACAUUCUAAAAUGAGAAAAGCCUCGGAUCUUGGGAGUUCGGAUUUGGUAGAAGGCAUAUUCGGACAUUAAAGUUGCUUCGAGAUCCCUCGGGUCUGUUAUAGCUGCUGAUGUACUUUUAAAUUUUUAUUUCUUUUAAUGUUUUUACUUUUCUACCCAGUUUGUAAUAAUGUGUAAUGUAAAACUUGGGGUAUAGUGAAAGGGACAUGGGGGUAUUUACAUUUUUUAUAUGCAUUAGAAAUCAUGCCUAUAGGACCAUCUCAUCUAAUUGCAUCAGUUCUUUAUGUAGCUACCAUGUCCAUACGGUUGCAUCAGUCUUAAUUCAAGGUGACAUUUCUAUAUUUUAUCACUAUUGCAUCCAUGUAGAUAACAUGCCUAUAGGAGUCUACUUUUCUUGCACCAAUAAUCAUGUUAAUUCAAGAUAACAUGUCUAUAUUUUAUCAUUAUUGCAUUCAUGUAGAUAACCUGUCUAUAGGAGUCUACUUUUCUUGCACCAAUAAUCAUAUAGAAACCAUGACUCUGGGAUUAUUCAUCUCUGCAUCAGUAGAAACCAUGACUAUAGGACCUUUACUUUACCUAUAUGUUUUGUUACCCUACCUAUUUCCCACGCUGUUGCAUAUCACAUAGAUACCAUGUCUGUAGGAUUUUUUCCAUAUUGCAUCAAUUCAUAUAGAAACCAUGCUAUUAGGUUUGAAUCUUUUAAUCUCACCUACAAAGCAUGCCUAUAGGAGAUAUAUAAACGCUAGGCAAAUAGUAGGACUUCUAAUUGUCUAAAAAACAGCAACUCAAAGGUUAACAAAUUAAGUUUAGACCGUUAAUGUUUUCCAACAACCCAGUUUUCAAGUUAUCCUAAAUCUAUAUACUUUCAAACCAGCCCAGGUCUGCUUCCCUCCUUUUCGUAAAACUCUGAGUGUAUGGGCUGUUUUCUGUACUGAACCUGUAACUAUUUGCUGUGUUUCAAAACUUCCUACAGUCUGUUACUGAACUUUUACAACUGAUUUGCAUACCUUUUUCUCAAAACUCAUCCGCAGUUUUUUUAAAUCUCCCGUUUGAAACUCAUGUUUUCGUUUUGUAAAACUUGUCUGCAACUCCAAGUAUUUUAAGUUCGACUCCUGUUUGCAACGAUAGUCUUUUACUCUAAAGUCUUACUGAUUUUAUAAGGCCUGUCGACUUCUAAAACAUGCCCGGGGAGCUCGAAGCAGAUUUUCUAUCCCAACUCUUAUGUGUUAAACUAAUCUUCCCGCUUUCCUAACCUUUUUUAAAGACCAAAGCAGUAAUUGAAGUCAUGCUAAACUACUUGUCGUUUGUUAUGGGGUUUACUUGAGCCUUAAUUAUAUAUGCACUUUCCUUUUAUUUGCUACUUGUUUUCCUUUUAACUGUCACUCUAGUAUUUUACCUUUUAGUACUCCAUAUAUGUAUCCUACUUCCUUCUCCCCCUUUCUUAUGAUUAGAAGUCCUAGUGCCCCGGGACUAACAGGUUGGGAUGUGUAUUAGCAUGAAAUAAGUAAACGAUACCAACGCGCUUUAAUACCUUAACGGGUGGGAAGGGUAGAAUAUGGAGAUGAUGAUGAUGCAAUAAUAUCAUGAAGCGACCCCUCUUUGGGAAUAUGAUCUAGAUAUUGCAUUGAAUGAUCCAUAUUAUAGUUAAACCUAGGACCCUUCUUUCGUUUCUAUGUAUUUUAUUGUUUUCUCAAUUCUUUCCAAACUAAUCCUCUUUUAUUUCAAACUUAUGCCCUUUUCUUUAAAGUUCAAAUUAUGCAAAUAUGUGUACUUCAUUUGUCUACUUGCUUCAUAUUCUUUUAAAGUCACAAUUAGUACGGUCGGGAACCACAUUUGUGGAUCUUGAGGGGUUUCUAACACCUUCCCCUCGAGAUAAUCUCAAGCCCUUACCCAACUCUGGUUUCUCUCUCAAACACACUCUCUUAAAGUGUCCUAAUGCACUAUAAUCAUUAGGUGAUGACUCUUCCAAUCCCAUAACACAAUUCCCAAAUGGGAAAUAGAGUUAUUUUGCUCAUAAUGUCAUGAAACCCGAUUUCUCUCUUUGAAAAAGGGGGGGCGUCGGCAGCAUGGCGACUCUGCUGGGGACUUCUUUUAGGCCUUUACCACUACGUGUUUUUGUGACUUUAAAUUGUUUUCUUUAUUUAUUGCUUCAAUUAUUUUUCACAAUUAAUAACUUCUUUCUUCGUGUCUUUCUUUAAUUGUUUUACGGCUUUAUUGCAUUUACCUCAUUUCAAUUCAGUCAUUAAUUUCGAGCAUUCAUUGUAACCAUUAUUGUAUGAACGUGAAAAUACAUGUACUUAUUUCCUUAUUGUGAUUGCAUCCUUCAACAUCAUUUUCCACUUGCUCCAAACAAAUCAUAUAGCAAUGCUUAUAAUGAGUGAUUGCGCCCUUCCAAUACAUACAAACCCCCCAAAUUUGGCAAAGGCAUAUUUGUGGUAAAACCACUCGUUCAACAGUGUAGUUGACGGUUCCGCGCCUUUACAUCUUGAGUUAUCUGCUCAAGGCUACCUUGUCUAACACUUCAAAAGUAGAACCCUUAAUCUAUUUAAUUGUUCAUACAUCAUGGUCAAACUUAGCUGAGUCGGUUAUAUCGUCCGCAUAACGGCGCCUAAACCAAAAGUCCAUCGGGUUUCCUCGUAACCCAAACGGACAUUCACAUUGUGUGCAUUGAUUUGGAAAACUAAAUACCUUUUGCUAUUUAUUGAUUUAAAUAGUCGAGUCCGGUGGGUUGAGGAUCUAACUCUCUGUUUUGCAGGAAAUGAGGCACGAAGUCCCCAGGUUCGGUAUGGUAUCAAACAUUCAUCCAAAGUUACUAAGUUGGUGGGACGAUUUGCAUGGUAGUAAUCGGGUUGUCGUUCGCAAACACUUAGGAAAUCUUCCUUCACUUAUGGAAGUUAGGCUAGAUAACAAGAUCGUGGAAACUGCUACUAUGUUUUGGGGUAGUGAACAGUCUGUCUUCCGCUUUGGGGAUAAUAAAAUGACGCCGCUGUUGGAGGAAAUUAGGGGUUUAGCCGGAAUUCCUUGGGAUAGCCCGGGGUUGCUCAUGCCAGAAAACCACAAAGGUAAAGGGUUCUUGAAAAUGAUGGGGCUCAAAAAUAAUCCUAAUCUGACUAACUUGAAGGACUCCUACAUAUCCUUCUACUUUAUGUAUGAAUGGUACGGAUAUAGUAAAUCAUACUACAAUCACAUGGACGAGUUCGCCCUCACCUCUUUGGGGCACAUACAGAGGAGGGCUUUUGUGUUCAUGUUCUAUUUUUUGGGAAUGAUAAUUUUCCCGAUGAAGAAAGCUAGAAUCCAUACAAGACUAGCCAUGGUAACCAAAGCCGCAAUGGAGGGUAUCGACGGGCAGACGUUCAGCAUAGCACCCAUAAUCGUCGCAGAACUGUACCGAGCCUUAGAGAAAUGUCAGCAAGGGGCAACAAACUUUGAAGGGUGCAAUCUAUUACUACAACUCUGGCUCAUUGAACAUCUUCAAAAGGGAGAGAAUAGGCAGGAGAUCAUACGCCGGGAUUAGGAUGAUCACAUUGCUUUCCAUCAUCCAAAGUGGAUGCACUUCAUGCCGGAUAUGUUUGCUCACCCAGAAGACGCCUAUGGAUGGGUGGAACUAUGAAUAAAUCUUAGAGAAGAACAGGUACAAUGGAUGUACGGGUUGUUUCCAACUGGGGAGUUUAUCAUUCGGUCUAGGGAUGCGCCAUUCCUUGUACUCAUCGGCUUGAGAGGAACUUACGGAGAAAGGAUUGAAGAGGGAAUAAAAAAUGGUAUGGUUACCAAUCUUGAGACACUUUGCUACCAACAAAACCUUGCAAUUUCCUCUCUGAGUCAUAUGGCUAGCCGGAAGGAAACAGAUUAUACGAAGGGUGGAAAAGAUGACUCAUUACAGAGCUAAUUUCCAAGAUGACGAUUGCCCACAUAGGUGCCGAGCUCAGCCUAUGUGGCACUCCAAAAUCAUUCUAGAAAAGGAGUCUAUGGAACCAGACAGGUAUCAGGCGGGGCAUGCACCACUUUAUCCAGGAUGGUUAGAAGAUGAUCAUAUUGGCUUAAGAAAAAUAGGUUUCGUCCAUGGUCACAGAGUUAUUGAUGAGGAGGCUGCAGCAAAGGUCGAGUCCACGCAAAUGGAUGCGAGAGUUCGAAAGUGAACAUCGGGAAGUACUAGAGGCUCAAAGCUUAGGAAAAAUAGGUUUCUUCCAUGGUCACAGAGUUAUUGAUGAGGAGGGUGCAACAAAGAUCGAGUACAACCAGCUACACAAACGGAUGCGAGAGUGUGAUAGUGAACAUCGGGAAGUAUUAGAGGCUCAAGAGAAGGUAAUCAAUGAAUGGAAAGACAUGGCUAUCCGAGCAAGCAACUGUUUAGGGUACUUGGAACAGGGUAUAGUGGAUCUAGAAGGCAAGUUUCUGAAAAGGAUCAAAGACCGUGGGGAAGCCAUGAAAGUGGGCGCUUGGCUCAGCUUAUUCAUUGCUGGGACUGCGCGAGCUAAUGAAGCUGUAUGAGGGACGCAAAGAUACCGAAUCUGGGUAAGGUCCUUCCAGGACCAAGUAGUUAGGGUUUUACUACUUUCUGGAUGUAAUAUGGCCCUUGGCCAUUAGUGACAAUUUUUCUUCAUUUCAAUUUUGUUUUGACUUGUUCUAUUUUUAUCUUUAAAAUGAGGCAUUUGGUAUUAUGAGUUCUCCAAAUCAUUAUUUGUCGCUAGGCCUACCUUAGGCACAACGAGGAACCCAAAUAGGAAACGAUAUAUUUCUUGCAGCAACGUGUUUACAUACCGCAAUGUUUUCUUUCUCAAAAUCCACACUAACUUUCUACCUUUUGUUUUCCUUUUUGUUUUUAUUCCCCUCCCCAAAGGUUAGUUCCUACAUUUUGGAACCAUCAGCAUAUUCGACAAGAUCUAAGGGUCCUCCUCCUCCUCUUCCGAGUCCUCCCAGAAACAGGAAAAAGGAAAGAUAGCAGAUAAUAAAGCAAGAAAGGAAAUUGAAGGAACUUCUCAGGGUACCCCGAUCACCAAAGAAACUGAUGCUCACUUGGAGCAAACUUUGCUAAGGUUUCGAGAAGAAUUGGACCAGGUCCGGAGUUUGGCAAGUCUAUCCAUCUCCCUUGCUGCCGCGGAUGUCAAAAGUCAAGUCCCUGCACCUUUGUAGACGAUUCCAACCCAGGUUCGAAACAAUGCUCCACCGCUCAUCCUUGAGCCUCAAAAUGCUCCAAACAGCUAGGAUACCCCUAUCUUUGUGAAUACUGUUCCCUACUAUACAUAGCCUAUACCAGAUGUAUAAGAAUCAGAUUUGCUCAUUCACAACUUGGCUGCUUAACUCAAGAUACCCCUAUCUUUGUGGAUACUGUGCCCUACUAUACACAGCCUAUACCAGAUGUAUCAGAAUCAGAUUCGCUCAUUCAAAACUUGGCUUCUGAACUCAAGAAACUCACUAACAGGGUCCAAGGUGUGGAAGGAGAUAGGGGUGUAGAGAGUCUGAAUUAUGAAGACCUUUUUGUUCAACCUGAUGUCAAACUCCCCCAGGGGUACAAACAUCCUAUGUUCGAGAUAUUUGACGGUACGGGUGAUCCCAGGGUUCACCUCAGAAUGUAUUGUGACAAAUUAGUGGGAGUUGGUAAGGAUGAGAAGAUCCGCAUGAAGUUAUUCAUGAGGAGUUUGAAAGGGGAUGCUUUAUCUUGGUACAUCAGCCAAGAUACGAAGAAGUGGACGAUCUGGGUAGACAUGGCGUUCGAUUUCAUGGACCGUUUCAGGUUUAACACUAAGAAUGCGCGAGACGUGUUAUACAUUUUAGAAUUUGAAGAAGAAACCUAGCGAAACCUUUCGCGAGUAUGCUACUCGUUGGAGGUCAGAAGCUGCCAAAAUCAGGCCGGCUUUGGAAGAAGAACAAAUUAAUAGAUUCUUCGUUCGUGCCCAGGACCCAUAAUAUUACGAGAGAUUGAUGCUGCUAGAGGGGCAGAAGUUCGCUGAUAUCAGCAAACUGGGAGAAAGGAUUGAAGAGGGAAUAAAAAAUGGUAUGGUUACCAAUCUUGAGACACUUUGCUACCAACAAAACCUUGCAAUCUAGUGGUUCAUCGAAGAAAAGGGAUGUAAACUCUGUAAUGGCUGCGCAAGAAACCAUUCCCCCAUGAAGUACCAACCCUACCCUUCCACUCCACUCACGUACCAAACAUCCCUAAAUUACCAAGAACCUUCGCCUACUUACCAAAAUCCGCCGCCCAUCUACCAAUCAUCUCCACCACCAACAUAUCAGCCCACCUCGCCAGUAUAUUCCCAAACCGUACUCGUAUACCAAGCCUACACACCCCAACCUCCUCACUACCCAUCACCACCUACCCUUCAAAACUUCCUGCGACCAAGACAGAAUUUUGACCGCAAACCACCCAGACAGUACACUGCUAUUGCUGAACCCAUUGACCAACUCUAUGAGAAGCUCAAAGCCGCCAGAUAUGUUACACCUAUCCCAGCCAUAACCCCAGAGAACCCGUCCCAAUGGAUUAACCCAAAUAAAACUUGUGCAUACCGUUCGGGGAUGAAAGGCCUAGAUAUGUUACACCCAUCCCAGCCAUAACCCCAGAGAACCGUCCCAAUUGAUUAACCCAAAUAAAACCUGCGUAUAUCAUUCGAGGAUGAAAGGCCAUACCAUCGACGAGUGACGCUCGUUAAAGGAUAAAAUCCAGACCCUAAUUGACAACAAGGUCAUCGUAGCUAAGGACCAUGCUCCUAAUGUUCGCAACAACCCCCUGCCAGACCACAAAGGUGGGAGCAUCCACAUGAUUGAGGUUGAAGACGAUUGGGACCCCGAAGGGUCGAUUGGUUUGAUAUCUGAAAGGGAUGAGCCCAAGAAACUGGCGGUCACCCUUAAUCCUAUUGUUGUACAAGUCCAGCCCUCUGAGGACAACGUGGUGAAUAUAGCCGUGCCAUUGGAGUCCGAGACGCUUCCUGUAUAGGGGCCAAAGCCGAUUGAGGUGGAAUUUGGGACUCCAAAGGCGCCUGCACCAAUAGAAGUUACUAUGUUGCCUCCAAAGAUGCCCAUUUCAGUCGCCAUGUCAGACGUAAUCCCAUUUCAGUCGAAAUCCAUACCUUGGGACUAUGCAGCCGAGGCAAGAAGGAAAGGCAAUGCACGUGCGGGUGAAGCAAUUGCCGCACAAGGUAUGACUAGAAUAGUCAGGGUGUACACAUCAGAGCACCUAGCUGAGUCCAGCAAGCAGGCCUUUGGACGUCCUAUGGAAACCGGACCUGAUAAUCUCUGGAGAAAGAUACAGGCUAAGGAGUACUCAGUUGUUGAACAGCUAAACAAAACUUCGGCACAUAUUUCCAUCUUAGCAUUCCUGCAGAGUUCCGAGGCGCAUAAAAAUGCCUUGAUAAAGAUAUUGAGCGAGGCAUAUGUCACGAGCAACAUAGCGGGAGGAUAGAUGGCAAACAUGAUAGGGAAGAUAUUUGAAAGUCACAAAAUCACCUUCCAAUAAGAUGAAUUGCCGCUUGAAGGGCUCAGUCAUAACAAAGCACUGCAUAUCACCGUGCAAUGUGAGGACCAUUUCAUUACCAGAAUCCUAUUUGACGGAGGUUCUAGUCUCAACAUUUGUCCAUUGAUCACCCUCAAGAAGUUGGGAAAAGUGUUGUAUGAGAUAAAUGAUGGGGCUAUUAAUGUUAAAGCUUUUGACGUUUCUCAGAGGUCCACUUUCGGGGAGAUUAGCCUGUGUCUGCAAAUGGGCCCCACUUGGUUUGAUGUUGAGUUCCAAGUCAUCGACAUACCGGCCUCUUACAACUUAUAUCUGGGACGACCCUGGAUCCAUGCCGCUGGGGUUGUGGCAUCAACUUUACAUUAGGCAGUGAAGUUCAACCUCUUACAACUUAUUGCUGGGAUGACCCUGGAUCCAUGCCCUGGGGCUGUGGCAUCAACUUUAUAUCAGGCAGUGAAGUUCGAAUGGAACCAUCAGGAAGCAAUCAUCUAUGGCGACGGUAGCAACCCAAUAUACAGUCGCCAGACCAUUCCAAUGAUCGGAGGCAGAAGAAGAAUAGGUGGGGAGACAUAUCAUCAUAUCGAGCGGUUCAACGCAGUGGAUAAGGACAAACGGUGGAGUAACAAGGUUGAGAGAAUUCUUAAUUGGAGUGGGUAUGAAUUGGGGAAAGGACUUGGUAAGAAUCUUCAAGGUAUUACCAAACCCAUCCAGUUGAAGAAACAUGNNNNNNNNNNNNNNNNNNNNNNNNNNNNNNNNNNNNNNNNNNNNNNNNNNNNNNNNNNNNNNNNNNNNNNNNNNNNNNNNNNNNNNNNNNNNNNNNNNNNNNNNAUACUUGGCAAGAAUUUAGAAACUUGUCACCACCAUGGCGCGGCCCAUGUUAUCCAUUGGAACAUCCCAUAUCUCAGUUAGAGCAUACAUUUCAGCCAGCGGACACUCUCUAUGGUUCGGAGGAAGAUGAGGCUCUUGCAGCAAUGAAGAACCUGUUUCUGGAGGGUGACAUGGACUGUUGUGUGAUAUUUGAAAAGGAAGGGGAGGAAGGCCCUUCCAUUCAGGCUGUGAACCGAGGAGAGCGCCUCACAAACUGGUCAAUUAGGACCACCAUCGCCCGAAAACCUUCGGGGUAGCAAGGCUUAACGAGCAUCAUGCAUUUUAUUUCUAGUUGUUUUCUUUACUUUCCGCAUUUGUCUUUACAUUCCAAAAGAUCCCCGAUGUUUUGAAAAUUUAUGAAUUCAAUCUAAAGCAUUUUCAGUUUUCUCAAAUGUCUCGCUAUUCAUUACUUUUCUCUACUAUUUACUUUAUUUUUCACACAGCAUAACUAGUACGUGUCUUGAUGAUUAACCAAUAACUGUAACUUGCAACGAGGCUAUGCAUCAAAUGGACAUAAACUCAAAAGAAGAUGAUAUACCAGAAGAGGUUAUCAGAGGGGUCGAAAAUUUUGAGAAUAGUCCCAAGUCCAACUGGGAUGAAACCGAAGUCGUCAAUUUAGGAGAUACAGAGAAUGUCAAAGAAACGCGCAUCGGUGUGCACUUGUCACAGACAGGGAAAGAGAAAUAUGUAGAGUUCUUAAAGGAAUAUGAGGAUAUUUUUGCAUGGUCUUAUGACGAUAUGACCGGUCUCAGCACGUCCAUCGUCGCUCACAAACUACCUAUGAGGAUAUUUUUGCAUGGUCUUAUGACGAUAUGACCGGUCUCAACACGUCCAUUUUCGCUCAUAAACUACCUACAGACCCUGCAUGUCCCUCGGUAAAACAGAAGCUCAAAAAAUUCAAGCCAGAUAUGAGUCUAAAGAUCAAAGAGGAGGUUACCAAGCAGGUCAAAGCAAAGUUCUUCAAGUGGUAGAAUAUCCAACCUGGUUAGCUAACAUUGUGCAAGUAUCGAAGAAGGAUGGGAAAGUUAGUGUCUGUGUCGUCUACCGGGAUCUCAACCGGGCCAGUCCCAAAGACGAUUUUCCCUUGCCAAACAUACACAUUCCGGUCGACAACUGUGCCAAGCACGAAUUGUAGUCAUUCUUUGAUUUUUUCGCAGGGUAUCAUCAGAUAUGGAUGGAUGAAGGAGAUGCAGAGAAAACGACGUUCAUCACGCCUUGGGAAUGAACUGCUACAGAAUGAUGUCGUUUGGGCUAAAGAAUGCAAGGGCUACUUACAUGAGGGCCAUGACUACCCUCUUUCAUUACAUGAUACAUGGAGAGAUUGAGGUAUAUGUGGAUGAUGUCAUCAUUAAAUCCAAGAAGGCUGCAGAUCACAUGGAGUCAUGACAUGAUACAUAAGGAGAUCGAGGUCUAUGUGUACGAUGUCAUCAUUAAGUUCAGGAAGGCUGCAGAUCACAUAGAGGACCUCCGAAAGUUUUUCAAUAGACUAAGGUGGUAUAACUUGAAACCGAAUCCCGCCAAAUGUGCAUUUGGGGUCCCUGCGGGAAAGUUGUUGGGUUUCAUCGUAAGUCACCUAGGAAUAGAGCUGGAUCCAUCAAAGGUCAAAUCUAUUCAGGAGUUGCCACCGCCGAAAAGUAAGAAAGAGGUAAUGAGUUUACUGGGGAGAUUUAACUAUAUCAGCUGGUUCAUUGCUCAGUCUAGCGUCAUCUGCGAACCUAUCUUCAAGAUGCUUAAAAAGGACGCCGCCACCAAGUGGACCGCUGAAUGUCAAAAGGAUUUCGACAGGAUCAAGGAAUACUUGUAUAGGCCUCCAGUCCUAGUUCCACCUGAGCAUGGGAGGCCUUUAUUGCUUUAUCUCGAAGUUUUGGAUGGGGCAUUUGGUUGUGUCUUGGGAAAACAUAAUGAAACGAGGAGGGAGGAGCAAGCUAUUUACUACCUCAGCAAGAAAUUUACCCCGUACAAGGUUCGGUAUUCCUUGCUAGAACGCACCUGCUGCGCUUUAACUUGGAUAGUUUAGAAGUUGAGGUAUUAUUUUUGUGCUUACACCACCUACCUUAUAUCAAGAAUCGAUCCACUAAAAUACAUCUUUCAGAAGCCCAUGCACACUGGCAAGCUCGCAAAGUGGCAAAUUUUGUUGAGUGAAUUUGACAUUGUCUGCAUCACCCAAAAGGUAGUUAAAGGACAGGCUCUGGAAGAUCAUCUCACAGAAAACCCUGUGGAAGGGGAGUAUGAACCAUUGAAGACAUAUUUUCCCGAUGAGGAAAUAGAUUUCAUAGGAGAAGAUAUUGCAGAAUCCUAUGACGGCUGGAGGAUGUUUUUUGAUGGAGUUUCAAAUUUCAAAGGAGUUGGUAUUGGAGCAGUCCUGGUAUCAAAAACCGGUCGGCAUUAACUGGUAUCCUCCAAGCUCAACUUCCCAUGCACCAAUAACAUGGCCGAGUAUGAAGCUUGCAUCUUAGGGCUUAAACAUGCCAUUGAUAUGAACAUCUAGGAGCUGCUAGUGAUUGGGAUUCAGACCUACUCAUACACCAGGUCUGAGAAGAGUGGGCAACCAAGAAUUCCAAGAUACUCCCUUAUUUGCAUCACAUAUAGGAGUUGAGAAAGAGGUUCAGAAAAAUAGAAUUCUAGCAUGUUCCGAGAAUACAGAAUGAGUUUGUUGACGCCUUAGCCACUUUAUCAUCCAUAAUUCAGCAUCCAGAAACAAAUUUCAUCCGGAAUUCCAGCAUGUUCCGAGAAUAGAGAAUGAGUUCGCUGACUCCUUAGCCACUUUAUCAUCCAUGAUUCAGCAUCUGGACAUAAAUUUCAUCAACCCUAUCCAGGUUAGAAUUCAGGAUAAACCGGCUUAUUGUGCACAUGUUGAGGAAGAAGCCGAUGGAAGACCCUGGUUCCACUACAUCAAAAGGUACCUAACAACAGGAGAAUAUCCAGAGCUUCUUAAUGUUACUCAGAAGCGCACGCUUCGAAGGUUGUCCAAUAAUUUCUUUCACAGCGGAGGAAUGUUGUAUCGGAGGACUCCUGAUUUGGGACUAUUAAGGUGUGUCGAUGUGACAGAAGCAACCAAAUUAUUGGAAGAAGUGCACUCAGGGACUUGUGGGCCGCACAUGAACGAUUUUGUUCUAGCAAAGAAGAUACUCAGAGCAGGAUAUUUUUUGAUGUCCAUGGAAAAAGAUUGCAUUCGGUAUGUCCGAAGGUGUCACCACUGUCAGAUACAUGUGGAUAUGAUAAAGGCACCCCAAAACGAGCUCACCGCAACGAGCUCUCCAUGGCCGUUCGCCGCCUGGGGAAUGGAUGUUAUUGGACCAAUCUAGCCUGCUGCAUCAAAUGAUACAGGUUCAUUCUAGUGGCAGUUGAUUACUUCACUAAAUGGGUUGAAGCAGCUUCGUACAAAGAAGUAACCAACAAAAUUUGUGGCAGACUUUGUCUGAGAUCGGGUUGUCUGUCAGUUUGGUGUUCCAAAGUCAAUCAUCACUGAUAAUGGCUCCAUUCUCAACAGCGACUUGUUGAAAGCAAUGUGUGAAACUUUCAAGAUAAGGCACAGGAACUCUACAACUUACAAACCUCAGAUGAAUGGAGCCGUGGAAGCAUCCAAUAAGAACAUCAAGCAAAUACUUAGGAAAAUGAUCGAAAAGCAUAAGCAGUGGCAUGAGAAGUUGUCAUUCGCUCUACUGGGAUAUUGUACUAUAGUUCGCACAUCAACUGGCGCAUCUCCCUACUCCCGCUAAGGUAGAGAUUCCAUCCUUGAAAAUCAUACAAGAAGCUGAGUUAGAUGACGUAGAAUGGGUCAAGGUUCGAUACGAGCAGUUAGCCCUUAUAGAUGGAAAAAGAAUGAACGCCGUCUGCCACGAUCAUGUAUAUCAGAAUAGAAUAUUUAGAGCCUUCAACAAGAGAGUUCGUCCAAGGAAAUUUACGCCAGGACAGCUGGUGUUGAAGAAGAUAAUUCCACAUCAAGACGAGGCCAAAGGGAAGUUCUCUCCCAACUGGCAGGGUCCUCCCCGGGUAAAGAGGGGCAGCUAUUGAUACCUUAUUUUUUCCCUACGUAUUUUUGUUUCCGAAAUACUUUCAAAAUAGCUUGUGAAUGUAUAUAUAAGCAUCCACAAGAGGUUUGGUAUUUUUCUAUAAUUUUUCAAGCAUUUAAAACCAAUUUAUAAUUUAUUUUGUACUAUAAAAUCCAAUGCUUAGCAACAAAUCUUGAUUUUUUAAUAAAAAAUAACUUUAUUCUCUCAUCCACAUAAAAAUAUAAUUUUAUGUAAUUUUUUACAGAUUUUUACGAUGCCAUUAGGUAUUUUUAAAAUUAAAAUUGCAUUAAAUUGUAAUUUUAACCUAUUAAUCAAUUUAACGAGUAUUUCAAGUAUAAAAUCGUUUCUAGUAUUUUUCAUUAAUUCCUAAACGUAUUUUAUUAGCUCACUAAUUUUAUUGGACUUUUAUAAAAUUUUUUGCUAUUUUUAAAUAUCAAAUUUGGGAAAUAUUGGUCAUGUAAAUUCUAGCCCAUUUGUCUUUCAAAUUCAGCCACAAUUUUAAACCCAAUUUCCCAAUCCAAUAACCCUGCCCAAUCUCAUAACUAACUCGACCCACUUUCCCCUUUUUGAUCAUGGCCGUUGAUCUCAUAGAUCAAUGGCCCAUGUUGUUUCUUACCAUAAUUAAACACCCACAAUCCCCUAAUCCUAAUCAUUUCUCUCAACCAGCUGCCUUUGAAUCCCUAAACACCCUCUAGCCCCCUUCAAACCCUAAUCAUCUCCAGCUCUAUUUCGCUGGCAUUCAUGGCUGCUCAAGCCAUCAAGUACCUCUAUCCGUCAUUUAUCACCAUCCUUGGCCUUUGUGUUCGAAGAUUGAGACUUGUUUCGAGGGUAACUUGACCAGAGGUCCUUUAAUGGGGUUUCACAACCAUGUCAGGCUUCUCUCCAGCAAGAUUUUGAAGUCUUGGGUCCCUACCAAGCUCCGAUGAGCCGUCCAGGCUUUUCUCACCAUUGAGGCAUUCUAUGAAAACCUUAAUCGAUUUUAGGUUCUUAUGUCUGUAUCUUUGUAUUAUUUUACGAUCUUCUCUAAGUUUUGUUUGUUUUCUAAAGGUUUUUAAGUACCUCUGAGCUUUUCUUCGCCUGGUUGUGUUUCCAAAGACUGUCCGUCUUUUUGAAAUCUAGGGUUUCUAUGAACUAUUUGAUUCUUUGAUUUUAUUGUUUCUAUGUGUUCUUCUUCGUGAUUUUGAGCAUCUUCUACUUUAGCUUUAAUCAUUUUACCUCACUGAUUACCUUUCUAGGGUUUUCAUCUAGUUUGUAUUGUGAUCUCUUCGCAAUGGUUUGCUCUUGUUCCACUCCGUCUAUGACAUCUUUUGUGUUUUGACUUGUAAUGGAAACCCUAAUUUCUAAGGGUAUUUGUCAUUCAUCUUUCUCUGCGAAACCCGUGCUUUCUAAUCAUUUUCUCGUAUAUGUUUCCCCAUAUGUCUAUUUUGCUAUGCCUAGUUUUGCAUGUUCCGACUUAUGAAUCUUUUAUUGUACUUUUUUCCCAUUUUCCUGAAACCCUAAUUGAUAUUGGUACAACUGUGUGAUUUUCUAAUUGUUCCCUGCACUUUGACAAAGUUCAUACGAGUAAAAUCUUGACUCCUUGAUUUUCUGGGUAAUUAUUUACCUUAUAUGUUCAACCAUGUGAUUUUUUUUUAAUUUUCCUAUGUGCAUCUUCCCUAUAUUUUCUGAUUAGUACUAUAUUUGCUUUCCAAAAUUAGACUUAGGUCUAUUGAUUUUUCCACCCGGUUCCUUAAUUGAAGGGAUUCCCUUCUCCUUAAUUGAUGCUAACUGGUUUUCUGAAUAUUUUUCUUGCCUUACUGUUGCUUCUCUUUCAACUAUAAAUAAAAUCUUUCUUUUCUCACUCAACACUGAUUCUUGAGUUCUCUCUACUCUCACUCACGAAAACUCUC
rnacentral:lncRNA from 1 species